rnacentral:rRNA from 1 species
AUUGAACGCUUUCUUCCGGCCUCCCCCCUGCACGUCGAGCGGAUGAAGGGAGCUUGCUCCUGGAUUCAGCGGCGGACGGGUGAGUAAUGCCUAGGAAUCUGCCUGGUAGUGGGGGAUAACGUCCGGAAACGGGCGCUAAUACCGCAUACGUCCUGAGGGAGAAAGUGGGGGAUCUUCGGACCUCACGCUAUCAGAUGAGCCUAGGUCGGAUUAGCUAGUUGGUGGGGUAAAGGCCUACCAAGGCGACGAUCCGUAACUGGUCUGAGAGGAUGAUCAGUCACACUGGAACUGAGACACGGUCCAGACUCCUACGGGAGGCAGCAGUGGGGAAUAUUGGACAAUGGGCGAAAGCCUGAUCCAGCCAUGCCGCGUGUGUGAAGAAGGUCUUCGGAUUGUAAAGCACUUUAAGUUGGGAGGAAGGGCAGUAAGUUAAUACCUUGCUGUUUUGACGUUACCAACAGAAUAAGCACCGGCUAACUUCGUG